GACGAACGCUGGCGGCGCGCUUAACACAUGCAAGUCGAGCGAGAACCAGGGCUUCGGCCCUGGGGACAGCGGCGAACGGGUGAGUAACACGUGGGUAAUCCGCCCUCGGCACCGGAAUAGCCCGGGGAAACCCGGAUUAAUGCCGGAUGGCCCCUUCACCUCGCGAGGUGUCGGGAAAAGGUAGCUUCGGCCUCUGGCCGAGGAUGAGCCCGCGGCGGAUUAGCUUGUUGGCGGGGUAACGGCCCACCAAGGCGACGAUCCGUAGCUGGUCUGAGAGGACGAUCAGCCACACUGGGACUGAGACACGGCCCAGACUCCUACGGGAGGCAGCAGUGGGGAAUCUUGCGCAAUGGGCGAAAGCCUGACGCAGCGACGCCGCGUGAGGGAAGACGGCCUUCGGGUUGUAAACCUCUUUCAGGAGGGACGAAGCUACUCGGGUGAAUAGCCCAGAGGGUGACGGUACCUCCAGAAGAAGCCCCGGCUAACUUCGUGCCAGCCGCCGCGGUAAUAC
rnacentral:rRNA from 1 species